rnacentral:rRNA from 1 species
UACAGAGGGUGCGAGCGUUAAUCGGAGUUACUGGGUGUAAAGGGCGCGUAGGCGGCAAGAUGUGUGGCAUGUGAAAGCCCCGGGCUCAACCUGGGAAGUGCAUGGCAGACUGUCAGGCUGGAGUACAUGAGAGGGUGGCGGAAUUUCCGGUGUAGCGGUGAAAUGCGUAGAGAUCGGAAGGAACGUCAAUGGCGAAGGCAGCCACCUGGCAUGAUACUGACGCUGAGGCGCGAAAGCGUGGGGAGCGAACAGG